rnacentral:lncRNA from 1 species
GAUUAAUAGUCUGUGAUACAUCAGCAUUGCAUGAUAGAAUAUAACUAUUAAAAUAAUAUUUUGAAGGUUAUAUACUAUAGCUAAAUGAAAGUGAAAUAAUAAGCAGUGUAUAUGCUCUCUUUGCAUUAUGUAAGAAUGUAUGUAUAUAUAAAUAACUACAUGCAAACAUUAACCUAGCUAUUGUGUAUGUUAAGUGACUGGUAUUGAAAUUUUUUAAUAUUAAAUUGUUGCUUCAUUAAAUGUUUCUUCAAAAGGAAGACUCACUAAAAUUUAUUUUAUAUCCUGUUGAACUGUGGUAUCAAUGCAUUUAUGUAAAGAAAGAAAAAAGAGAAAUCAACGUAUUUAUAAUCUAGGGCAUUAAAAGACUGUGCCCACCCCCACAUCCAUCCUCAGGUGAUUUUGAAAACUAAUUCUCCAUUUUGUGGUUCUGCUUAUAGAUAUAUAAAAUCAAAACUCUAGGAUUAACUAGAGUUCUUUUUUAAGGUACAAAUAAUACUUUAAAAGAAUUCACUUAACAUUGAAUAUAUUUAAUGAUAAAACUUUUCCCCUCAAUAAAGAUUAGCUUCUUUGAAAGAAAGGAUGCUUUGAUUAAAGGUAGAAUUAAUUUGGAAGUAAUUUAGUUACAGCAGUGUAGGGUAGGGUACUGAAAUGAGAGACCUGGACCUCAAGAUUGUGGUGAAAUCUGAGGGCAUAAAUGAGAAGGAAGGAAAGAGAUGUUCAACUUGAAAAGCAUUCAGAGAACUAUAUAUUGAAUCAGUUUUCACUUUGUCCAGUCUGUCUGAAAUUCUUAAGAUGUUUAAUAUCUGAAGGGAAGAAGUAGUGAUUUUGAGAAAAGUAGCAGUGGUAAUGUGUCUAGGCAAAAUAAGCAGACCAAGAGAAAAUAGAAUCCCUUCACUGUUCUAUCACACUGUUUCUGGAAACCUAGAAACAAACUUCUUUUCUCUUUCCUUGAGAAUCCUUUUUUUUCCCCCUUUGUCCUCCGUACUUUAACUUCCACAGAGAGCUAAGCUACUCUGUAUAUAAAUGAGAACCUAGAAAAAUAUCCUCAAAACCUACCAAGUCUGCUUAAUGAAAGUUUUAUUCUUUUCCUUGCCCUAGGGUGUUAGCCUAUGUAAAUAUACAUAUCCACAUAACAUAGCUAAUAAAUUACAACUCAGAUGCUUUCUGUGUUUUGUAAUUUAGCAUCGUCUGCUUCUGGAAAAUUUGGUAACAAUUUUUAGUUCUGUUUCCAAUCUCUGGAUAUAUAUGAUCAGUCAGUUCACAUUGAUAACUGAAGUGACUCAAUUAUUUAUCAGUUCACAGAACUGUGAACCCUGUAUAGUGGAUUAGAAAUUGGGCUGGGUUUGUGGCUCAGUGGUAGAGUGCUUGCCUAGCACGUGUGAGGCACAGGGUUCAAUCCCUGGCAACACAUAAAAAUAAAUAAAAUAAAGGUAUUGUGUUUAAAAAAAAAAGAAAGAAAUCACUUAUAUAUCAUAUUGCUUAUCUGCUUUGUGAACACUCAGCACUUAUUUUUCUGUCUCUGGCAAAUAUUUUAUCCUAUCUUUCUUAUUUAAAUAGUUUUCUAUUAUAAAGAAAUAUACUGAGAUAACCAAAAUAGUUUGUGAAUAUAUUUCUGGACAUUUAAAUAAGGAAACUAUUAUAAGCACAGAUUAGAUUUACCUGUUUCAGUACUUAAUACAAAUGGAAUACUACAGUGUAAGGUAUGUUUUACUGGAUUAUUUAAUUCCUAUGGUGAAGCACAGUGGGCUGUAACAGUACACUAAACACAGAAUGAGAUAAGGGGAUAAGUUCACUUGGAAUAUUACACAUAUUAUAUGCAUCUACUGUAUUCUAUGAAAACUUAUAAGAGUAGGGCUCUUUCAUAUAAAAUGAGAUUUUUCCAUAGAGAAUGUGAUCAUAUUUGGGGGGAUAUGGCAUGAGAAUAUUCUAAAGGUAAUUCAGGAUUUUCUGACUUUUAUGAAGGUAAGUAGAAGUCAAGAGGGCAGGAAUUAAAAUGAAAAGAUGUUUUUAAAGAAUACUAAAGAAUUGAGAUAAGAAUUUUUAAACACCUUUCCUUCCCUUUUGUUCCAACUUUAAAAUCCCAUAAGAUAAAUUCUUUUUGUUUUGUGAAAAUAUAGAAUACAGUAUGAUGGAACUACACAUCUCAAUAUUAUUUGACUAUAUUUUAUUCCAGAACAUCUAUAGGAGACUUCUUUCACAAUCUACUAUAAUGGCAGAAGUAGAAACACACAGGGUACUACUAACAGUAGCCACGGCAGCUGUUGUGAUUCCUUUUUAUUUAAAGUGGGGUGUAUUGGCAAUUGAAUUGUUGAAAUGUCAUUU